UACGAAGGGGGCUAGCGUUGUUCGGAUUUACUGGGCGUAAAGCGCACGUAGGCGGAUCGUUAAGUCGGGGGUGAAAUCCUGGAGCUCAACUCCAGAACUGCCUUCGAUACUGGCGAUCUCGAGUCCGGAAGAGGUGAGUGGAACUCCUAGUGUAGAGGUGGAAUUCGUAGAUAUUCGCAAGAACACCAGUGGCGAAGGCGGCUCACUGGCCCGGUACUGACGCUGAGGCGCGAAAGCUAGGGGAGCAAACGGG
rnacentral:rRNA from 1 species